CCUACGGGAGGCAGCAGUGGGGGAUAUUGCACAAUGGGGGGAACCCUGAUGCAGCGACGCCGCGUGGGUGAAGGAGUGCUUCGGCAUGUAAAGCCCUAUCGGCAGGGAAGAAGCAAGACGGUACCUGACUAAGAAGCACCGGCUAACGACGUGCCAGCAGCCGCGGUAAUACGUAGGGGGCGAGCGUUAUCCGGAUUCACUGGGUGUAAAGGGAGCGUAGACGGCCAUGCAAGCCAGGGGUGAAAGCCCGGGGCCCAACCCCGGGACUGCCCUUGGAACUGUGCGGCUAGAGUGCGGGAGGGGCAGGCGGAAUUCCUGGUGUAGCGGUGAAAUGCGUAGAUAUCAGGAGGAACACCGGCGGCGAAGGCGGCCUGCUGGACUGCGACUGACGUUGAGGCUCGAAAGCGUGGGGAGCGAACAGGAUUAGAUACCCCAGUAGUC
rnacentral:rRNA from 1 species